AAGCCUAUACUUUCAGGAAUCAUUUCUAUAGUUCAUUACCAGAGAAGCUUCUCUGAUUGUGUAGAGCAUCAAAACCUCUAGAAGGAGUCAGAGCUUCCUCUCCUGAGCACGAAGCCGGCUGAAGGUGUUUCUUUUGCAACUGCCUCUACCAUUUAUCCUUAUUCUUCUCUUUCCUUGGAAGAGUGAGAGGGAAAGAAUGCAGUCUGAGCGGU